rnacentral:rRNA from 1 species
GACGAACGCUGGCGGCGUGCCUAAUACAUGCAAGUCGAGCGGACUGAUUAAGAGCUUGCUCUUAUGACGUUAGCGGCGGACGGGUGAGUAACACGUGGGCAACCUGCCCUGUAGAUCGGGAUAACACCGAGAAAUCGGUGCUAAUACCGGGUAAUAUCUGAGAUCACAUGAUCUUAGGUUAAAAGAUGGCUCCGGCUAUCACUACAGGAUGGGCCCGCGGCGCAUUAGCUAGUUGGUAAGGUAAUGGCUUACCAAGGCGACGAUGCGUAGCCGACCUGAGAGGGUGAUCGGACACACUGGGACUGAGACACGGCCCAGACUCCUACGGGAGGCAGCAGUAGGGAAUCUUCCGCAAUGGACGAAAGUCUGACGGAGCAACGCCGCGUGAGUGAUGAAGGGUUUCGGCUCGUAAAGCUCUGUUGUUAGGGAAGAAACAGUACCGAACGAACUAGGUCGGUACCUUGACGGUACCUAACCAGAAAGCCACGGCUAACUACGUG